rnacentral:rRNA from 1 species
GACGAACGCUGGCGGCGUGCUUAACACAUGCAAGUCGAACGAAGUGGCGAACGGGUGAGUAACUCGUAAUCAACCUGCCCUUCAGAGGGGAACAACAGUUAGAAACGCCUGCUAAUACCGCAUACUGAAGGAGGUGAUUGCGUCUGAUUAGCUAGUUGGAGGGGUAACGGCCCACCAAGGCGAUGAUCAGUAGCCGGUCUGAGAGGAUGAACGGCCACAUGGGGACUGAGACCCGGCCCAGACUCCUACGGGAGGCAGCAGGGGGGAAUCUUCCGAAAUGGACGAAAGUCUGACGGAGCAACGCGGCGUGAGUGAUGACGGCCUUCUGGUUGUAAAGCUCUGUUAAUCGGGACGCGGUACCGGAAUAGAAAGCCACGGCUAACUACGUGCCAGCAGCCGCGGUAAUAC